rnacentral:rRNA from 1 species
AACGAACGCUGGCGGCAUGCCUAACACAUGCAAGUCGAACGAUCCCUUCGGGGAUAGUGGCGCACGGGUGCGUAACGCGUGGGAACCUGCCCUUAGGUUCGGAAUAACUCAGAGAAAUUUGAGCUAAUACCGGAUAAUGUCUUCGGACCAAAGAUUUAUCGCCUUUGGAUGGGCCCGCGUUGGAUUAGCUAGUUGGUGGGGUAAAGGCCUACCAAGGCGACGAUCCAUAGCUGGUCUGAGAGGAUGAUCAGCCACACUGGGACUGAGACACGGCUCAGACUCCUACGGGAGGCAGCAGUGGGGAAUAUUGGACAAUGGGCGAAAGCCUGAUCCAGCAAUGCCGCGUGAGUGAUGAAGGCCUUAGGGUUGUAAAGCUCUUUUACCCGGGAUGAUAAUGACAGUACCGGGAGAAUAAGCCCCGGCUAACUCCGUG